ACGCUCGACACCUACGGGAGGCAGCAGUGGGGAAUAUUGCACAAUGGGGGAAACCCUGAUGCAGCGACGCCGCGUGAAGGAAGAAGUAUCUCGGUAUGUAAACUUCUAUCAGCAGGGAANAAAUGACGGUACCUGACUAAGAACGCCCCGGCUAACUACGUGCCACAGCCGCGGUAAUCUGAGGCGGGCUGGCAAGGC
rnacentral:rRNA from 1 species